rnacentral:tRNA from 1 species
AAUUUAUUGUUUAUUUUUUUUUUUUUUUUUAUUUUUAAUUUGUAUAAUAUAUAUACUAAACAUAGUUGUUUUAUUAUUAAUAUUAAAAUAAGUUG